UAGUGUGGCCCAGAGACAUCUCAAGGUUGGACACCCCCAUCAGAGUGUUGAAAACAAAUUAAUAUUUAUCUAUUUAAAGCUUUUAUAAAUAAACUGCCCCAUUUACAUUUUGUUUUCCGUGGCUUAUAUAAUAUUUCACAAGUUUAAAGGUCACCCUUUAAUUUUUUUUGAUAAUAACUGGAAUAUGAGUGGAUACUUUUUACAAAAACACUUUUAUUGUGGAAAAUUUCAAACACAGAGGUCUUUUGAGUGCCAGGCAUUUCUGGCCUUUGUGUGACUUGCAUGUUGAUUCUGGGUGUCUGCCUGCCCCGAAACAUGCCACCCCAGCGUGCUCCGUCCCUGCCAGCUCCGAGCCUGGGACCUGGAGGUUUAGAGAGUGAGGGUUCUGACUGCUGCCUGUGGUUUACUAGCAAAUAGGAAAUUAAAAGGUAAAACUGGAGAAGGUAGGUGACAGGGAGCAGAGGGGGAGAAAGAAAGAGGGCCACUACUGCAGGACUCACUGGCUCUUCCCUCCCCGUGUAGGGGGGAGUCUGUGGGGACUCAGGGCCCAGGCCCCUUGUGGAGGAAGAGCUGCUCCCAGAGCUCCCGCCUGCUUCUCCUGUCCCUGGGGUGAGGUACCUAGCGCUCCUCCUCCUUCCUCUUGGUUCAUUGCUGCUUUAUUGCCUCUGAGGGUUUUGGCUGCAGGAAGGAGGGGUCGCUUUGCAUCUGUACAAAAACGUUAAACUUUCCCUGGAAUUGCUGCAGGCCCUUUAUUGCGCUUCAAACAAAGAAAUUACAUCUGCCCUGGCUACCCCUCCACUUGACUCUGACC